ACUCAAAUGAAUAGACGGGGGCCCGCACAAGCGGUGGAGCAUGUGGUUUAAUUCGAUGAUACGCGAGGAACCUUACCAAGGCUUAAAUGUGCUACGAAUAAAUUGGAAACAGUUUAGUCUUCGGACGGAGCUCAAGGUGCUGCAUGGUUGUCGUCAGCUCGUGCCGUGAGGUGUCAGGUUAAGUCCUUUAACGAGCGCAACCCCUAUUGUUAGUUGCCAGCGAGUCAUGUCGGGAACUUUAACAAGACUGCCGUCGCAAGACGUGAGGAAGGUGGGGAUGACGUCAAAUCAUCAUGGCCCUUAUGUCUUGGGCUACACACGUGCUACAAUGGUCAGUACAAUGAGCUGCCACUGGGUGACCAGGAGCUAAUCUUUAAAACUGAUCUCAGUUCGGAUUGGAGUCUGCAACUCGACUCCAUGAAGCUGGAAUCGCUAGUAAUCGCAUAUCAGCCAUGAUGCGGUGAAUAUGUUCCCGGGCCUUGCACACACCGCCCGU
rnacentral:rRNA from 1 species